rnacentral:rRNA from 1 species
GAGGGAUAUUGGUCAAUGGGGGAAACCCUGAACCAGCAACGCCGCGUGAGGGAAGACGGUUUUCGGAUUGUAAACCUCUGUCCUCUGUGAAGAUGAUGACGGUAGCAGAGGAGGAAGCUCCGGCUAACUACGUGCCAGCAGCCGCGGUAAUACGGAGGAUGCGAGCGUUAUCCGGAUUUAUUGGGUUUAAAGGGUGCGCAGGCGGGACGCCAAGUCAGCGGUCAAAUUUCGGGGCUCAACCCCGACCUGCCGUUGAAACUGGCGUCCUAGAGUGGGCGAGAAGUAUGCGGAAUGCGUGGUGUAGCGGUGAAAUGCAUAGAUAUCACGCAGAACUCCGAUUGCGAAGGCAGCAUACCGGCGCCCCACUGACGCUCAUGCACGAAAGCGUGGGUAUCGAACAGG